GGCAGCCCUGACGCAGGGACAGUGAACAGGGAGGUUGUGGAAGGUCUGGACACGCAGCUUCAGAGCCUGGUCAGGACGGAGAGUCAGCUGAGCACCCCACCCACCCACCCAGGAAACAGCCCCAGACUUGUGAUCUGAUGAACAUGAACCAGAGGCUGAAGGUCAGGCUCACCCAGCACAGAGGAGCAGAGGAGGGGGGAGCCUGAGGCUGAGAACAGGAACUGAGGGAAAACUGCCCUUGAUCAGGACCCGGGCCUCCUCCCCCACCUGCACCUGGGGCCACCCCUGAAGGGGAGGAUGGCGGACCAAUCCCC